rnacentral:misc_RNA from 1 species
GCCUUUUGCUUGUGAUUUUUGUUCUUCUCGACGAUCAUCGCAGCAUCAGCUAAGAGGUUUCUUUCGUGAACACUGGCACAGGGAAUCAAACUCUGGUUCUUAAGAAUAUCAGAGGCAUCGCCAGACGAUCCAUUGCUAAUCGAUUCGCCAAAACCACCACCGCCAAAUACAUCAAAUUCAUCAUCGGAGCUGUCGUUAGUGUUCCCAUUAAAGCAAUUACAUCGGUGACGGCCCCGAAACGGCUUCUCGUUGCUCUCCUCGAUGUAAUUCUGCACCAUUUUAGC